rnacentral:rRNA from 1 species
UACGUAGGGGGGCAAGCGUUGUCCGGAUUUAUUGGGCGUAAAGCGCACGCAGGCGGUCUCUUAAGUUUCGAGUGACAGGUCAGGGCUUAACCCUGGCAGGCCUUGGAAAACUGGGGGGACUUGAGGGCUUCAGAGGGACGCGGAAUUCCAGGUGGAGCGGUGAAAUGCGCAGAUAUCAGGAAGAACACCUAUGGCGAAGGCAGCACUCUGGGACGGUACUGACGCUGAGACGCGAAAAGCGUGGGGGAGCGAACAGG